ACAUCAUCCUGGCCAUUGACUGUAGUUCACCCAUUGUGACAUCAUCCUGGCCAUUGACUGUAGUUCCCCCAUUGUGACAUCAACGAUAUGGCCUUGAGUAUGUGUAGAGAAUGGAGUGUUUUCUAUGGGGCGUUUUGCUCCUAUGCAUGCACGAGCACACACACGUACAAACACAGAGAGAGAGAGAGAGAGAGAGAGAGAGACCUAAAGAGAGAGGGAGAGAUACUAAGAGAAAGAGAGCGAGGGAAAGAGAAAAAGAGACAGAGACCGAGAGAGGGAUAUGCAGCAACAGCAGCAGACAGACUGGGAGAGGAAAGUAGAGAGAGGAUUUAACCAACUCAUCAUAAUCUCCUUCAGGUCUCUUUUACGCCCUCCCUUUAGUGUGUGUGUGUUGUUUUCAUGUUGAGUACUGUAUGUGUGUGUACUGUGUGUGUGUCUCUGUGUGUGUUUCCAUGUAGAGUAGAUGGCCCAUAUCCAGGCUGUGUAUCUGUGUUCUGGUCGGCCAUCUUGGAAAGCGUUGGAAAGCCAGACCACAUCAAAGAGACACACACACACACACACACACACACACACACACACAUCCUGUCUCCCACCAAGGCACACAAUCCACUACCACUCAUACAUAUUCACAUAGAUAUUUAUAAUGUUAGGGAGUGUGUGUGUGUGUGUGUGGGUUCUCUCUGAACUUCGUGUUUCCUGAAGACCAGUGAUUGAGCGCUAUUCUGCCACAGGCAUGACCACAAAUCACCACCGCGAUCUAAGGGCCGAGCCACUUCUUAUUCAUGAAUCCCAGACUGACCCCUUUAAUGUCCUUAAACAGCAGUACUCUGUGGGCUUCAGCUGUUUUUAAUCUCAGAAACCUAGAACUAAAAUAUUGCGUACCCUGUAAAAAGUAACUGCGUAACUCAUUAAAUGCAUUUAGUAGUGACCACUCAAACAUCUCCAACGGUCAGUAGAACUCAAGUCAUAGAAGUGGUUCUAACUCCGAUCUUAAUAAGAUUUCUAAAAACGUAAUGUUUUGGCGUACUGUUAACAUUAGGUUAUUAAGUUAAUAUGACUUUAUUGAUUUGUGUUCUGCUAAUCUAAAGUUAUUGAAUUUUAGAAGUUAUGAUUAUUUAGUAUUUUUA
rnacentral:lncRNA from 1 species